UCGGGGGCUGUAGCGCCUGCGCACUCCCUUUCUUCGGGUGGUCUGGUCCGGUCCGCUCAGAGCGGCGGCGGCGCUGCUACUGCAGCAGACCCCACACACCGAGAAAAGAUGCCAUCGUCGGUCAGAAAUCUCUGCUCCAACUUCUCGCCCCCCGCUCUAUUUAUAUUCUCGUUAGGUCCAACUGGACAUACAUUUCGUCAUGCUGAUCUGCAAACAAUUGUUUAAUUCAGUACCUUCCGCCUGGUUGACAGCUUCAACUUCCUAUGCAACAAAAUCACCAGCAACCUAAACUGGUCCCUUCGCACUGAUGGUGUGAUCAAGAUAGUUCAUCAGCAUAUUUACUUUCUUAAGCAUUUGAGAAGAUUCAGCAAAUUCACAAGGAUUAUCCUCAACUUGAAGAUCAACACAAAAUGCUGAAGUAACUCAGCGGGACAACCUAUGGAUAGGUGUUGGAGCCAUUAAGCUUAAGUAAGUUUAUUAUAGUCUUGUCUAGUUACCUUUAAUUAUUAUCUGCCUGUGUUAAUGUGGGUGGGAUUUUAUACAUAGUCUGGGGCGUGUUUUUGACUAGAGGAUGCUGGCGCAGACACUCAGAUGAUGAGUUUCAGUUUUGAUCGGGCCAUGGAUUGAAACAGUUUGCUACCAUGACCACGAGCAUGAUCGUGACAUAUUUAUUGAAGAUCAGUGCAUGU